rnacentral:lncRNA from 1 species
ACACACAAUAAAUAAUAAAGAAAAAGGAAUGUUUCAAUAGUUGUCUUCUCAGAGAGGCUGUGUGACUUCAAAGUAGAAGUUUGUAUCACGCAAGGCUGAGGUACUAUUGAGAGAGUCAGAAGAACACUUUUCAUCAGAGCAUAAAGAUAAUUACAUCAUAAAAGAAAAAGGAACUCCAAAUACAAACGCUUCUGCUUGAAUGUUUCUUGUCACCAGCAUCUUCCUUGAAGAGCCUGUCAU